GGCGAUCACGUGGGCGGAGCUGGGCGGGAAGGCGGCCGGGGGCCGGGCUGGGCGUGGUGCGGGUUGCCGCUUGUUGUGAGGGGACCGCGGUGCGGCCGUGCGUGUUACGGCGUCACGUAGUGCAGCGCGGGGCGUAAAUAGAUCGAGUGAUUUACCUAGGGGUGACUGACGUGGCUAAAACUAGUUUUUAGGGCUUAGCGGCACUGAAACGACGCUGAGUUCGCUGUUCUCGAAUCCCUGAAAAAAAAAAAAAGGCCUUGUAUUUUUAAUGAGCUCUGAUAAAUUAAUACCGGAAAUCCAAUCUGUUAGCAGGAACCUUCAAUGGAAAGCAAGGUCGCGCUUGCUGAUAGAGAUGGAUUUCCUGGGAUUUGGGGUGGUGAAUUCCGUGCUUUCUCACGGGAAUGCUGUCAGCUAUUUCUGGCAUUCAUUGUAAACUGGAAAGCAUCUACAACGAUGUGACAGCGUUAGAGAUCUCCGUGUUCACAAUACAAUCCAUCGCUGCGGAAACGGCUGUUUUCCCUCGGGAAAAUAUCUUGUGUGUGUCACGGAGGGCGCCGAACGUGCGGCGGCGCGGAGCCCCGCGCUGCGCUGUGGUGGCCGCAGUGAUUCCCGCUGCGGUGGCCGCAGUGAUUCCCGCUGUGGCGGCUGCAGUGAUUCCCGCUGCCAUUCAGCAGAGCUGCGUGCUGCGCGCCCUCCUGGCCGGCUGGCACCGCACCGCACCGCACAGAGCGCACAAGACGCUGCAUGCAGGGGAUGGGCGCAGAUUUCGGUCCCUGUGUUGGAUUGGCGUGUGAGCUCUGCUCAGACAUCACUGAUACUUCACAUGGAAGUGAAACGGAUAUUGAACCGCAGCCGGGGCAACUGAGAAAAGACGCGAUGUAUGCUGCCCUGCUCACAUCUCUUCACGUGAAAUUUUCAUUUACAUUUUUGGAAAUCACCUCUGAUGUUGUUUUGCAUUUCUCUUCAGCAGUCGUGCACUGAGAGAAGAACGGCAGCUCCUCCCUGCUGGCUGGCAGGCCAGCUGCUAUGGACAGCAGCCCUCUGAUACUGCCUGCCCAGGGGAGCUGGCUGAGAAAACCUCUCUCCUUUUACAUCCCCCGUGGUUUCACGUUUACCCCAGUUGUUGGUAUUGAGGAAGAUGCUGAGAGCCUUUGGGAUGGGUGUUACUGCCUUAUGUCUGCUGUUUUUUCUUUCCUUAAAUUGAUCCUGAAUAAACCUUGCAGGAGGGAUGCCGGCAGUUGAGAGGUAGCCCCUUUGGCUCUACCUGGUUGGAAGGUCAAUCCAAUAGUGGGAGACUUCCAACCUAGACCUCACUGCACUGUUCAGGAUUGCUUCUGCGUGAUGUGGACAGCUAUGAACACCCACAGAUGAUUGUAAAGAUAACAGUACCAAUCAAAUUGCUGCAAAGACCCUUCUGUCUGUAUAGUUUUAUCAGCAUUGCCAUCAUACUUGGCUAAUCACACAAAUACAUUAGCUCCUUUUGGCAGAGAGCAAAAGUGGGUCAAGGUGUCUGCUGACAGCCUUUAAGGGAAGGGGUCUCUAAGGAUAUACUAUUUUUAUCCUCUUUCUAUUAGCAAAAUUGAUAGAUGUGGUUUUAUUUUCAAGUAGCUUGAGUGAGUCCAUCCCAGAGCAGGCAGGCUGCUACCACUGCAGUCAGAGCAAGGAGCACAGGGAGAAGGGGCUGUUUGUGCUCCUGUUUUAUUUCUGGUCACCUGGAAGUUUUCUACUGCAGAUAAAUGAAGUAUUUAAAAAUACGAACAUUGGCAAAACUACCUGGGACAAGCUGCAGGUAGUUUAGGGAUGUAUCUUGUUGGCAUUCUUACUAUUUCCGAUCAUGUUUUAUCAUGCACACAAUCAAUGUGAGAUCGGAAACUCAGGGGUAUAUUAAAAAUAGAACAAGAUUUGGAAUUGUAUCCUAGCUGCUUGCCAGCAGGUUAAGAAAUAUGGAAGGCCCCGUCAGGUUAGUAAACUAAUGGAGCUUUUGUUACCUGAAAGCAGUGGCUGUCUGUGGUGACAGCAUGAGGAGAAUGCAAUUCACACUCAUGGAAAAAGAACUCCUUGAAAAAGAAAUUUGGUUUUGGAUAAUGAAAGUUAUAUUCCACAUCUCUAGAAAUAACAGUUUAUCUGAAAGUAAAUUGACUUUGAUUUACCAGGAAAGAGAAUUAACUACUGAAUCAGUUUGAGACGAGAAGAACUUAGCUGGGACUUUACCCAGAGGAAGAAAUUAAUUCUAUAGCCUUUUUUGUCUUAAAGCACCACAGGAUUCAAGCAAGAAUCGGGUGAAGGAUGAUGGCUGAAAUAAUCAGACGAUAGCAGUAAGCUCAAUGGAGGGCACCAGGCUGGCCAUGAGGAGCAAGAUGUGCACAGCACAAAAUGUAAGUCGGGGAGAACUCCCCGAUUUGGGGUGGUAUGGAAGCAGGAUUUCAGUCGAGAUCUUCAUAGAGCUGUGCACAAAACAAGGCUGGGAGCUGCGUGCAGAUCCUCCUAAUGGUUGAAGCCGUUCACAGGCUGUUACCUCCGGCUUAUUCAAAAGCCCUGGUUUUAGGUAAUGAACAACGUGUGCUGCUAACUAUGGCACUUCAGAAGUGCCGAAGACGACCCCUAUUUAAUGAGGGUACGAGGCUUGGCAGGGACCACACGCAGCGCUGAGCUGAAGCUGCCGCCUGCAUUGCCCACCCCAUGGCAGCGCUCUGCCUCAAUCGCCUGGCAGCUUCCAGCAGGGCUGAAGGCCCGCGGAGCAGAGCGCGAGGAACCCCGCCGUUCCCGCUACCAACAGCGGCUGGGCACGCGCUG